AGAGUUUGAUCAUGGCUCAGGAUGAACGCUAGCGGCAGGCUUAAUACAUGCAAGUCGAGGGGCAACAGGGGUAGCAAUACCUGCUGGCGACCGGCAAACGGGUGCGGAACACGUACAGAACCUUCCUUUAAGCGGGGGAUAGCCCGGAGAAAUCCGGAUUAAUACCCCAUAGUAUUGUUGGGUGGCAUCACCUGGUAAUUAAAGAUUUAUCACUUAAAGAUGGCUGUGCGGCUGAUUAGGUAGUUGGUGCGGGUAACGGCCCACCAAGCCAGCGAUCAGUAACUGGUGUGAGAGCACGACCAGUCACACGGGCACUGAGACACGGGCCCGACUCCUACGGGAGGCAGCAGUAAGGAAUAUUGGUCAAUGGACGCAAGUCUGAACCAGCCAUGCCGCGUGAAGGAUGAAGGUCCUCUGGAUUGUAAACUUCUUUUAUGUGGGAAGAAAUGCCUUCUUUAUAGAGGGUUUGACGGUACCAUAGGAAUAAGCACCGGCUAACUCCGUGCCAGCAGCCGCGGUAAUACGGAGGGUGCAAGCGUUAUCCGGAUUCACUGGGUUUAAAGGGUGCGUAGGUGGGAAUGUAAGUCAGUGGUGAAAUCUCCGUGCUUAACACGGAAACUGCCAUUGAUACUAUGUUUCUUGAAUUUUCCGGAGGUCAGCGGAAUAUGUCUGUAGCGGUGAAAUGCUUAGAUAUGACAUAGAACACCAAUUGCGAAGGCAGCUGACUACAGGGACAUUGACACUGAGGCACGAAAGCGUGGGGAUCAAACAGGAUUAGAUACCCUAGUAGUCC
rnacentral:rRNA from 1 species